AAUUUUCCAUGUUGGACAUUUUACCCACUUCAGUCAUUUUAUAUGGUUUUAUGUGAUUGUUCUUGUCCCAUAUGGGUGAUUUUGUGCCUCCCUGUGUCUCCACACUUGUGGAAACAAAUCUCACAAACAAAUCAAGCACUUGUCCUGUAACUUUGUCCUGUGAGAGACCAUCAGCGACCCUUUAGAGGGCUGCAGUCAGUGAGGAGAGAAGAGGAAAGCUGCUGAUGCUGCUGAAGCUCCAACUAAAAAGAGGAGUCUUCAACUGGUGGAGGACAGAGUAGAGCUGUCAGAAGAGGAACAAAGAGCCCAAUUCGACAGCAAAUACGAGCAGCAGCAUCAGCUCAGAGAAGGAGGUUGUGGGUCCGUGUUCGCCGGCCGCCGCAAAUCAGACAGUUUGCUGGACUUUGUCACUUGGAUUUUGAAAACUGCCCCAUUCAUAAAUGAAGAGAAUUAUUCUUGUAUUGUUCUGGGAGUUGGUGAUGCUGGGAUACUGAAGGAGACUGAUGUGGACGUCAGGAGGCUGAGCUCUGAUUCCAUUAAAAGGAUCAACUACAGAAGAACCCCGCAGAGUUUAGUUCCAAACAAAUGAUCUCCAGUCCAAGUUGAAGACAUAAAGUGUGAUCUGGAGGGAAGUUGUCAGUGUGAAUGUGUCGGUUCUCUAGUUAACUCACCUGGUUACGUCUCCAUCCUGAUGCUGCUCUGCUGGACAGGAGCUUCUGGACCAGCCGGGUGGACCUUCCUUCACUGAUCUUCCCAGUGGGAGUGAUUCUCAGUUUGCCUUGGUUGACUGCAAACUCCCUAAAAUGGACACUUGAGAGGAGAUUGUGGACAAAUCUAUACAACAGCUUGUUUAGUUUGUCCUGUUCUUAAAUCAGUAGAAAACUGUUGAGAGUGUUGCUCUAACUCCAUGUGUAUAAAAGCUCCUCCUACUGACCAAUCAGUUCUCUUGAAAACUGUCAUCAGCAUUAGAAGAUCCAGUGGAGCUCAGAGCACCGAUAGAGGGAGAGGAAGAUCGGAGUUUUUAGAGCUGCAAGCAAAGUCAUUUCAUUGUUCUACCUCCUUUGUAUUACAAUACGAUUUAUGAUUCUAGAUUGUUCCUGUGAGAAAUAUUUGAAGUUGUAUCCACUGACCUGUAGUGUUCCAUACCACAUGAGAGUCAGCUUACUUAUCGCUUUGAAUCAUAGUUUGAUGUCUUGCAGCCAGAAGAAUACAGCUGAGAACAUGUUCAUUAAACACAACAUCCAGUUGGAAUUAGAGUCUGAUCUACUUGUGAGCUGAUAAUUUGGUAGUAAUAUUGUUAAUCCUGUUAACUUUCACACAGUCUGCAGUUUUUGCAGCUUUCCCUCCUUCAGCUGCUGCAGCUGUGUUACUGUCAGUCUGUGUUUGGAGUUUAUAAUCUUUGUGUUUCUCUAAUAUCAUCGUUUGCUCUUCAUUUGUA